AGCCUGCCCAGUGACAAAGUUCAACGGCCGCGGUACCCUAACCGUGCGAAGGUAGCAUAAUCACUUGUUCUUUAAAUGAGGACUCGUAUCAACGGCACUACGAGGGCUAUACUGUCUCCUUUUUCUAAUCAGUGAAACUGAUCUCCCCGUGAAGAAGCGGGGAUUAAAAUAUAAGACGAGAAGACCCCAUGGAGCUUUAAACUCACCAUGCACCUCUGUGCUCUUAUACCCUUAGACACACCAGACCUGCAUGCUAGUUUUAGGUUGGGGUGACCACGGAGUAUAACUUAACCUCCAUAGCAAAUGGGCUAAUACCCUUAUCCAAGAGACACAACUCUAAGAAUUAUUAAACUAAUGCUUACGACCCGAUAUUCGAUCAAUGAACCAAGUUACCCUGGGGAUAACAGCGCAAUCUACUUCAAGAGCCCCUAUCGACAAGUAGGUUUACGACCUCGAUGUUGGAUCAGGGUAUCCUGGUGGUGCAGCCGCUACCAACGGUUCGUUUGUUCAACGAUUAAAACCCUACU
rnacentral:rRNA from 1 species